CCUACGGGCGGCAGCAGUGAGGAAUAUUGGUCAAUGGGCGCGAGCCUGAACCAGCCAAGUCGCGUGAGGGAUGACGGUCCUACGGAUUGUAAACCUCUUUUGUCGGGGAGCAAGUGUGCGUUCGUGAACGCGCGUCGAGAGUACCCGGAGAAAAAGCAUCGGCUAACUCCGUGCCAGCAGCCGCGGUAAUACGGAGGAUCCGAGCGUUAUCCGGAUUUAUUGGGUUUAAAGGGAGCGUAGGUGGAUUGUUAAGUCAGUUGUGAAAGUUUGCGGCUCAACCGUAAAAUUGCAGUUGACACUGGCAGUCUUGAGUACAGUAGAGGUAGGCGGAAUUCGUGGUGUAGCGGUGAAAUGCGUAGAUAUCACGAAGAACUCCGAUGGCGAAGGCAGCUCACUGGACUGCAACUGACGCUGAGGCACGAAAGCGUGGGGAUCAAACAGGAUUAGAUACCCGAGUAGUC
rnacentral:rRNA from 1 species